rnacentral:lncRNA from 10 species
UGUGAUUAGGCCCACCUGAUCAAAUGUAAAAACAUGCAUGGGAUAUUUGAUUACGUAACAACCAGCUAAAACUGAGAGCACACAGCCUUCGGAAACCCCCAAGGUGUCGAGGAGGAUCAGAUCCAGAUAAGAGAAGAUGAUUCCUUCUAGUCCUGUAAAAUUUCCUGUCAUCCUUAGCUGCUGGGUUGAUUGAAAUUUGAUCUCUACAUUUCAAAAUCAAACUAGUGAAUACAGUUUGUCUUUCAAGAGAAUCAGAGGCAUCGUAACUCCUACCAAGUUAAUGAGGAAACUGAGGCUCAGAUCAGAUGAGAACUCACUUAAAUCCACUCAAUGUGUAGAUGGUAGAGCUGGGACUAGCAACAUUGCUGCAGCCCAUUGUUGGCCUCUCUCUUCACUUUAUCAUUGCCCAAGAAUGAGGAUAUGCAGUAAACAGAAUUCAGUAGCAGUUUACAUAGUACAGCAUUCUGCAAAAAUUGCAUGAAAUGUGGACACAAGAUGUACUGUAUGACUUAAUUACCUGUCAUUCUCUGACACCAUUACUACCUACUAGAAGUUCAAAUAAUUUAUCUUUAACAUUGCAAUAUCUGAUAAACUUUUUAAAAUGUAAAUAAUUCAAAGCCUUGAAAAUCUAUCAUGAAUCUGCUCAACAUUUCAAAGUGACUAUUUUGAAAUGCCUAUAAAUGCUAUAUACCUG